GAUGAACGCUGGCGGCGUGCCUAACACAUGCAAGUCGAACGGGAAUCUUCGGAUUCUAGUGGCGGACGGGUGAGUAACGCGUAAGAAUCUAACUUCAGGACGGGGACAACAGUUGGAAACGACUGCUAUACCCGAUGUGCCGCAAGGUGAAACCUAAUUGGCCUGGAGAAGAGCUUGCGUCUGAUUAGCUAGUUGGUGGGGUAAGGGCCUACCAAGGCGACGAUCAGUAGCUGGUCUGAGAGGAUGAGCAGCCACACUGGGACUGAGACACGGCCCAGACUCCUACGGGAGGCAGCAGUGGGGAAUUUUCCGCAAUGGGCGAAAGCCUGACGGAGCAACGCCGCGUGAGGGAGGAAGGUCUUUGGAUUGUAAACCUCUUUUCUCAAGGAAGAAGUUCUGACGGUACUUGAGGAAUCAGCCUCGGCUAACUCCGUGCCAGCAGCCGCGGUAAUACGGGGGAGGCAAGCGUUAUCCGGAAUUAUUGGGCGUAAAGCGUCCGCAGGUGGUCAGCCAAGUCUGCCGUCAAAUCAGGUUGCUUAACGACCAAAGGCGGUGGAAACUGGCAGACUAGAGAGCAGUAGGGGUAGCAGGAAUUCCCAGUGUAGCGUGAAAUGCGUAGAGAUUGGGAAGAACAUCGGUGGCGAAAGCGUGCUACUGGGCUGUAUCUGACACUCAGGGACGAAAGCUAGGGGAGCGAAAGGGAUUAGAUACCCCUGUAGUCCUAGCCGUAAACGAUGGAUACUAAGCGUGGCUUGUAUCGACCCGAGCCGUGCCGAAGCUAACGCGUUAAGUAUCCCGCCUGGGGAGUACGCACGCAAGUGUGAAACUCAAGGAAUUGACGGGGGCCCGCACAAGCGGUGGAGUAUGUGGUUUAAUUCGAUGCAACGCGAAGAACCUUACCAAGACUUGACAUGUCGCGAACCCUGGUGAAAGCUGGGGGUGCCUUCGGGAGCGCGAACACAGGUGGUGCAGGCUGUCGUCAGCUCGUGUCGUGAGAUGUUGGGUUAAGUCCCGCAACGAGCGCAACCCUCGUUCUUAGUUGCCAGCAUUAAGUUGGGGACUCUAAGGAGACCUGCCGGUGACAAACCGGAGGAAGGUGGGGAUGACGUCAAGUAGCAUGCCCUUACGUCUUGGGCGACACACGUACUACAAUGGUCGGGACAAAGGGCAGCGAACUCGCGAGAGCCAGCGAAUCCCAGCAAACCCGGCCUCAGUUCAGAUUGCAGGCUGCAACUCGCCUGCAUGAAGGAGGAAUCUAGUAAUCGCCGGUCAGCAUACGGCGGUGAAUUCGUUCCCGGGCCUUGUACACACCGCCCGUCACACCAUGGAAGCGGUCACGCCCGAAGUCAUUACCUCAACCGCAAGGAGGGGGGAUGCCUAAGGCAGGGCUAGUGAUGGGGUGAAGUCG
rnacentral:rRNA from 1 species